CCUACGGGAGGCAGCAGUGGGGAAUAUUGCACAAUGGGCGCAAGCCUGAUGCAGCGACGCCGCGUGAGGGAUGACGGCCUUCGGGUUGUAAACCUCUUUCAGUAGGGAAGAAGCGAAAGUGACGGUACCUGCAGAAGAAGCGCCGGCUAACUACGUGCCAGCAGCCGCGGUAAUACGUAGGGCGCAAGCGUUAUCCGGAAUUAUUGGGCGUAAAGAGCUCGUAGGCGGUUUGUCGCGUCUGCCGUGAAAGUCCGGGGCUCAACUCCGGAUCUGCGGUGGGUACGGGCAGACUAGAGUGAUGUAGGGGAGACUGGAAUUCCUGGUGUAGCGGUGAAAUGCGCAGAUAUCAGGAGGAACACCGAUGGCGAAGGCAGGUCUCUGGGCAUUAACUGACGCUGAGGAGCGAAAGCAUGGGGAGCGAACAGGAUUAGAUACCCUGGUAGUCCAUGCCGUAAACGUUGGGCACUAGGUGUGGGGGACAUUCCACGUUUUCCGCGCCGUAGCUAACGCAUUAAGUGCCCCGCCGUCGGGAGGUACGGCCGCCGACGGACGUAAACGUACGAACGAAGUUAGUACGGCGUGAGACGUGCCGACGGACGACGACGAGGGAGGAGG
rnacentral:rRNA from 1 species